rnacentral:lncRNA from 1 species
AUUGACAGUGUGUUAAAUGUAGGAAUAAAGAUUGACAGUGCUAAAUAUUGGCAAUGUGUGGCGGUUUGCUUAUUAGUUACUGUAUUACAAUUUUAAAUUAAUUAACCCAUUUAUUAUAUAUAGGCCUAGUCUAGGCCCCUUACUAAAAACCAUUGAAUAAGAGCUUUGUCUAACCAGGUCCCGUGAAAAAGGUUAACUGCAAAUUUUAUUUGAACAGAUAGCCCUAUCCUAUGCCUAGACUGUUUUCUUUAUGUACUUGAUUUCAGAAAAUUAUUUGACAGGUUUUUUUUUAUGUUUGUAUAUUAUUUUUGGUUAAAUGUUGAUGUAUUAGCUUUGCUUAUUAUAGGUUUAAUAUAGGCCCUUUAUAAAUUAUUUAUAUCAUUGUACUUCAAUAGGUUUAGAAGAAGACCACAGCUAUGCAAAGCAUUAUUCAUUGGAAAAUGAACCAGACGAACAAACAAGCACUGGAAGUCACUCCAGUAUAAUAGAACCAGAACCCAAAGCACCUUUGGAAGUUACAGAAGAUACUAUUCUUGACACACAAAUAGAUGCACUUUGCAAUAAAGGAAAGAGCCAUGAAAAACCAAAUAGGUCUACAUUAGAUAGGGAGCCAAACAAACACUCGACCUUUGGAAAUAACUCCAGCACAAACGAACUAGAAAUUACAAAAAAGAUUAUUCCUUCUGGCACACAAGUCGACGCCCUUUGCUCUGAAUUAAUUGUGUGUUUUCAAAGAGCCUGGUAAGGGUACACAAAAGGAUGCUCAUCGCAGAAAAAAAAGAAAUAUCAAUGCAGCAAAGAGGGCAAAGAUGUACAGACUGAGGCGUAAAAUAAAGAAGUUGCAAUCCAGUUUGGAAAAUUUACAACGUAAUUCGAGUUCAACCAAAUAUAUUAUUGAAAACGCUGCAAAAUACCUGAAUGAAACUUCACUAGAGUUCUUUGCCAGCCAAAUGAGAAUUUCGAAGAGACAAGCAAAAGGGAGAAGAUAUACAAAGGAAGACAAGCUGUUGGCCUUCGCACUUCACUACCAAAGCCCGAAGGCUUAUAAAUUUUGUCGGAAGAUUUUUGCACUGCCUACUGUAAGUUCAUUGAGAAGAUGGUUGGAAAACGUGAAGCUACAACCUGGUUUUAAUAACACAUGCUUUGAGGUGUUGCGUAAAAAGUGUAUGACCAUGUCGGAAAGAAACAAAGUGUGUGUUGUAACUUUGGAUGAGAUGAGUUUGAAAUCAGGCCUCUACUAUGACAUGGCAAAAGAUGUAGUAGAGGGAAUGGAGGAUUUUGGUUCUAUUGGAAGAACAAAAAACAUAACCACUCAUGCCCUGGUAUUUUUGGUUAGGGGACUGUCAUGUAAUGUGGAAGCAACCAGUAGGUUACUUCUUAGCCAAAAGUGCCACACCUGGCAGUACACAAAAAAUACUACUGCUUGACUGCAUAAAAAAGCUACAAAAUAUAGGUUUCACGGUAAAAGUUGUGAUUGGAGACCAAGGCUCAAACUAUCGUAAGAUGUUUUCUGAGUUAGGCUUAACAGGUGACAAACCAUUUAUUAUGUGGAAAAAGGAGGACGGUAGUGAGAGCCACAACAUCUAUUUUAUGUACGACCCGCCAAUUUGUUAAAAAGUGUGCGCAAUAACCUGUAAAAACAUAUCUUUCUUGUAGAUGGACAUGAAAUUAAAUGGGAUUUUGUUGUAGAAUUCUUUAAUCAUGAUUCCAAGCUGCCCCUUAGAAUGGCCCCAAAGCUGACUUCAAGGCACAUUGAACUACCGCCCUUCACACCCAUGAGGGUUUGUCUUGCCGCACAAGUAUUAAACCAUAGUGUGGCAGCUGGUAUUUUAACACACUCAUCACUUGGCAAAUUACCAGCAGAAGCAGUAUAUACUGCAAAUUUUAUUGAAAAAAUGGAUCAGUUAUUUGAUUCAUUCAAUUCCAGGGGCCAGAUUUAUCAAACUAGAAAUCAGCUUAAAUUCGUCUUAAGUCCAUUUUUUUUGUCGAUUGUACAUUAGGGCCAUCUAAGACGAUUUUUUAAGCCAAGAUUUUGCUAAAAUUGUG